rnacentral:rRNA from 1 species
CAGUGGGGAAUAUUGGACAAUGGGGGCAACCCUGAUCCAGCCAUGCCGCGUGAAUGAUGAAGGCCUUCGGGUUGUAAAGUUCUUUUGGCGGGGACGAUGAUGACGGUACCCGCAGAAUAAGCUCCGGCUAACUUCGUGCCAGCAGCCGCGGUAAUACGAAGGGAGCUAGCGUUGUUCGGAUUUACUGGGCGUAAAGGGCGCGUAGGCGGUUUAGUAAGUUGGAUGUGAAAGCCCUGGGCUCAACCCGGGAAUUGCAUUCAAAACUACUUUACUCGAAUUCGGUAGAGGUUGGUAGAAUUCCCAGUGUAGAGGUGAAAUUCGUAGAGAUUGGGAAGAAUACCCGUGGCGAAGGCGGCCAACUGGACCGACAUUGACGCUGAGGCGCGAAAGCGUGGGUAGCAAACAGGAUUAGAUACCCUGGUAGUCCACGCCGUAAACGAUGCAUGCUAGACGUUAAAACCAUCAUGGUUUUAGUGUCGCAGCUAACGCA